rnacentral:rRNA from 1 species
CCUACGGGAGGCAGCAGUGGGGAAUAUUGCGCAAUGGGCGAAAGCCUGACGCAGCGACGCCGCGUGAGGGAAGAAGGUCUUCGGAGCGGAAACCUCUGUCAGCAGGGAAGAACGGUCACGGUGCUAAGCAGCAGUGAAUUGACGGUACCUGCAAAGGAAGCACCGGCUAACUCCGUGCCAGCAGCCGCGGUAAGACGGAGGGUGCGAGCUUUAAGCGGAAUUACUGGGCGGAAAGCGCUCGUAGGCGGUAUGUCAAGUCAAGGGUGAAAUCCCCGCGCUCAACGUGGGAACUGCCUUUGAAACUGUCAUACUGGAGUGUGUGAGAGGCUAGUGGAAUUCCAGGUGUAGCCGU